rnacentral:lncRNA from 1 species
GUCCGGAUUUUUUUUCUAUAUUUAUGUCAUAAAUGACAGAUUUUAUUUACGACAAAACUGUUUAAACUUAAAUGAAUCGAUCAAAUCUUUACAGUCUUAAGUUUGUUGUAUUUUAAAUCGAUCUGGUAUCUUUAAACAGACCAAUAACGCGCCUUUGGUCCGAGAUGUGAAGGGCUUUUGACCACAAGUGUAAUUACCUAUUUUUGGAUGUUUAAAGGGACAACAGGGGACAAUACGGGUUCUUGAUCUACCGCGAUCAAACAAGAAAUUACACAGAUAAACUACGUCGAGAGGAAAUGUAUAAAUCAAAAGCAGAUGCGUAUUCUCCAAUUCUAGAAGUCAUUAAAAGAAAGGUGCAAAUCACAGAGCCAAAACGGAUAUAUGGACUUAUUACAGAAACCAUGUUUUAAUGGUGGCAACUUUGGUUCCGGGGUUACGUAACUGAGUUUGGAGACCAACUUCAAAAUGCAAGCUUGUCAUUGGUCAGUUUAAGGAAUUUUCUGAGAAGCAACCAAUUAAAUGCUCGUAUUUGUAACGUUUUUGUCUGGAACGACUUUCUCGAAAUCUUUUAGCUACCAUGGACUCUGUCAGGAAAAAGAAACCAUAAUAAAUUGAAAUCAUCGGAUUUAAUAUCACCAUUACAAGUGGUCCUUAGCUUUUAAGUAUAAAGGUGGAGCCAUUUAAAAAUGUACCGCAGACAUUAGCUUUAUACAAAAAUGUACAUUCCCUGGCUGGAAACACAACAAAAGAAGAAAUUCGAGCCUGUGAUUUCCCUACACAUUAUAGAUGUAAAGCAUUUGACACCGGAUGGACCAAGAGAGAAAAAGUGUUGAGGUUGUCAGAAAGACUGCUGUCCUUGGAGAAAUCGUUAUCAUAUUUCUGUUAUUUUCAUAUAAAAAGAAUAUUUUACAUGAAAUGUAUGUAAUAUCAAUAAAAUUUGAAAACUAUAACAUCUCCCCUAGAGAUAUUGCAAAGUUGCUGGAACCAGCACCGCCAUUGAUAUGUAAUGGAAUUUUUGAUUCACGAAGUGUUGAUUCAAUUCUCAUUUUGUCGGUUUUAGCUUCCCAGAUGUUGCGUUUUGUCAAUCGAUUGUCUCUUGUUUGGACGUGAUGACAACGAUAAGUGAUUAUUCUUUUGAUUCGUAUUUUUUUAAUAUUCAUGUAUUCCCUUAAGGAAGGCAUGGUGAUGAUAUAAAUUACAUGGUUGAGCAGUGCCUUGACAAGAUUGUCUAUUGAAACUAAUACUAAAGUAUCAUAAAUCUAUCAACAUCAUUUUUGAUCUUACCGAUAUGAAGAAAAUUCGUAGAGUCUUUUCAAGCAAGACAGAGAAAAAAUUAAAACUGAUCAAAUAAUGCGAUAAAAUGUUAUGACUGUGCAAAAUUGUGUUGUAAUGCGAGUAUCGGCAGAUUAGAGUAUGAAUUUAAAAUUCUUGAAUAUGUAUUGCAUUAAAGCUAUUAAUGAUUAUGCAAUGACACAAUAAAUGAAGCAUAUUGCUCUACCAUA